UUCAGCUAACAUUUAUAAACAGCCUCCUAAAUAAAAACAAUGUACUUAAUUCUGGGGGAUAAAAUAUGAAUAAUACAUAGUCUCUGCUUUAUAGAAAUAUCACAACCCCAUGGAGGAGAAAAACAUAUAUGAAAAUAACUAUGCUUGUCUUUUACAAAGGCAGUAAGGAAAGACUGAUUCAUUUUGACUAUGAGUGUCGCGGAAGACAUCAUGAAAUGGAGAGUGUGCAGAAGUAUUACAGCAUGAACUAUCUUGGUCCUCAAAUCCUCCCUUUGCUGCUAUGUCAUUUUCAUCUGAGUCGUGGAUUUGUGACUUUAGGAAUGCAUGAAUGAGAAGAAAAACAAAGGCAAAAAAGAAGACAGCACACAGGCCCCAGUGGUGUCCAUUUUCCCGAAAGGGCAUUGGAGGCUUGGCAGACAUACGAAAACACGUGCAAGGAAAAUAAUUCGUAAAGAUGUGACGUGUAGCAUUUUAAUGAAUGAAUUGGGUGCACAAACAUUAUUCCUAUCUUAAUCUUACACCCAUACUUGUCAUUUUGUCCCUCCACUUUGUGCUGUCACAAUACCCAGCACUUGCUGUUUGCAGUCCUUGAUGCAUUUGGAUGACUAUUUCCUGAAUGACGUUCUCACUCUCUAGAUGAAAAAUCUGUAAAACCAAUGAUCCUGCCGCUCCUGUGUACCAUGUUUUAUUCACCCAGCAGCCAGCAUAGAGCUUGGAACACUUGACAUGGAAGAGUUCUCCUGAAAUACGGACUGUUUUGUACCACUAGCAAAUACGCUGAUAAAUGCUAAAAAGAUAAAUUGCCACGAAUCAUUUGAUCACAGGAUUUUAAGGCCCCGCUAGGCAUGAUUAUGGUCUCCCACCGGUCAAGCCUGAGGCAUUCUGUUAACAUUCUUUUAGAAGAUCAAGACAUGGAAUAGUGUGAUGGAUCUAACCACUCUAAAAUGAAGUUCUUUUGUCAUAUUAGAAACAAGGGUCUAUUUUGGGGGUAGGAACCAAGAUAGUCUUACUUGUAUUGUAUUCAGCCUUAUUUACGAUUUUUUAUUUUUUAAAAACACAACAAAGCCAUAAUGACUCCUUAUUUUCUUUCCAUACUUGAAACAACUGCUGAUCAAGAAACAGUUUAAUCCAAAUUCCGAAUCUUUGAACACAUACGCCACUUUCAAAGGGGGCUGGGCACGAUUCAAUGGGCCCUAGGAGCCUAUAUCCUAUUUCUCCCUCUGUCUCUCCCCGUCACUGUCCCGCCCCCUCUCUCUUUCUCUCUUCUGUCUUUCCUUUUGUUCCCUACUAUCACGAGGAAGAAGGAUAAAAAUGUGAUUUGGCUGGAACAGAUUGAAACUGAGUAAAGUUGAACAAACACAAAUCUUCCACAAUGAAAUGUAAAUUUGUCUAAGCUAUAAUGCCAAAUAUUUUUUUUCUUUCCUUCUCAAUGGUAGCAAUAACAGAGAAGCACAUUGGCCCCAUGAUCAAGAGGGAACUUUGCCCAACUCCUGGUAUUAAUGAAACAGAGACUUAAAAAACAACAGCAAGCUUCCCAUGGCCUGGCAGAGUUUCAGAGUCUCAAUCUGAGCAAGGCUUCAGAGAACCUCUCUACCCUCUUUGCUCUGUGUUUUUUUUUUUUCUUUUUCUUGUUCCAUCUUUUAUCUCCCUGCACCAUCAGUGUUUUCUGUGUGAAAUUUUCUUGAUAUUUCUUAAUGAGGUAACCAAUUUGACUUGAGAAUACAUCAGAUCCAAAGCAUAAAGAAUGGGACCCCCUGGACAUAUCCACUUUGAUAAGGUUACCCGAGUUUCCCUUCCGUGAAGGGCACAGCAGUUCUGCAUUCUCAUUAUUUGUGUUUCAUCGAUGUGCUCCCCAUCACCUCUACCCAGGAGUGAAGCUGAGAGUUUUGCUUUGAGUAAGAUGAGGUUUUGCAACCUGAUGAGAUGAAAUGGGUCAACACACCUGGGCAACUACACACCUGGACCACAUCCCCUACUGCAUCCUGUGAUGGGUUUGCUUGUAUCUACUGAGCUUGACCUUGAGAAGACCCUAUGGCUUGGGUGCUGGUGUUAAAUAGAGUGGGCAUUUCUUUUUAUCCUGACUAUACUUGGAAUGCUGAAAGUGACAUGGAUUUGAGGCAUCUGGUUGCUUGGUUGAGGAACACAGAAUACAGAACAUUGAUAUCUCAAGACAGCGCCAGUGAUUUUCAAUGUUUCUGAAGUAGCAGAUCUCUUAGCUGUGUUUUUAAGCCUUGGAACACUAAAAUCCAGUGGGCUGUUGUGACAAGAUGUGGGUAGAUGAUGGAAUAGAAAUGUAUACAGGUCACUGUACAUUGAACUGCAAUCCCUCUGAUAUGAAAUUCAAAUACUCUCAGCAUCAUUCUGGUUAUCCCUAUUUGGCCAGGAAGAAUUUUACCCAAAUCAUUACAAGUGAAUAAUUAUUUGGUUUUCUUUAGAAGUAGUUCUGGAAAAAAACUUAGUAUUUUAGGAUACACUUUGGAUACCGUUCUUUGGAAAUGUCUCUUAAUGCGAAGUCAUUGGCCUUUUGUAGUGUUUUUUCCUUCUUUCUAAGUGAAAGAUUUAAUGUUUUAACACUUUAUUUUUCCCCUUCACAUUGGCUUAUGACAGCCGAUGAGUUGGACUUCCAAAAUGCUAAUUCAAGCUUAAUGUUCCUUCCAGCCAUCAGUCAAGCUGCAUUAGAUUUUCCCAGUUGAUAACUUCCAGUUCCAGUUCUGUGAAUCCAGUCUCCUCAACCUGUCAUCACCUAAAAUAUUAGUUUUAAAUUGAAUAAUAAAGGCACAUUACAUCUUCAUCAAAUGCAGAUCAAAUAGCAUGGCAUCUAAUAUUCUUAUAGUUCUCUAUGUGAAAUGACUUUAAGAAAUUUUCCAAAAUUAUUUUCUCCUCAAAACAUCAAUGCUAUGAGUUACUUGAGAUCACCCGAGUCAUCUUUUAAUAACACAAAUUAUGUCCAGCUUUCUGGGUCUCUGUUUCCCUAUUGACUUGUGUCUCCGGUCUGUGAGGUAUCUUCAGUCCCAUCCUCUCCACUCAAGAAGCACAAGUUUCAUGUAAGAUGCCUUCUUAGACUGUAUUAAUGGUUUCUACUUUUCUACCCUGUUCUCUUUUCUGGGGCAGAGGCUGGAGGGAGGCAGGAUUUACUUCAACUCUUAAAGUUGGGGUGUAACUUCCAUUGAGAGUUUCUCUUGCAUGUUGUUGUCACCAUUUUGGAAAGCCACUUGCAAUGUUGGUUGAGAGUUAUAUGAGGGAGAGGGAGAGAGAGGGUUGUAGGAGAUGACUCUGACAGCUGUGUUUAUGAUUGGUAGAGAAAGAAGGCUGAACAUAGAUGCUCCAGAAGAAUUCACUUUCUUCCUGAAGCAAAAGCUAUGGAGCCAGCAUAGUUAAAUGCCUAGUAUCUUUCUAUUUGAGAUCCUGUGUAGCUAUAUUGUUAUGAUACAAGCUUUGAAGCCUUUCAAAUUCCAAUACUAAAAAGCUGUGUGACCUUGAGUAAAAUUACUUACCUGUGCCUUACUUUUCUCAUCUGUGAAAAAGAGUUAAUCUCCUACCUUUUAGAGUUUUGUGAGAAUUAAAUGUUAAUAUAAAGAUGUAGUGGCCUGGCUGGGCAUGGUGGCUCACACCUGUAAUCCCAGCACUUUGGGAGGCUGAGGCAGGCAGAUCACGAGGUCAAAAGAUCAAGUCCAUCCUGGCCAACAUGGUGAAACCCCAUCUCUACUAAAAAUACAAAAAUUAGCUGGGUGUGGUGGUGCAUGGCCUGUAGUCCCAUCUACUCAGGAGGCUGAGGCAGGAGAAUUGCUUGAACCCGGGAGGCGGAGGUUGCAGUGAGCCGAGAUCACACCACUGCACUCCAGCCUGGCACCUGGCGAUGGAGCGAGACUCUGUCUCAAAAAAAAAAAAAAAAAAAAAAGGAAAGAAAAAAGAUGUAGUGACCUAUAAUGAACCGUCAAUAAGUGUUAGCUACUCAUGAUUGAAUAGAACUUCUUGGUUUCACCUUCCAGGAGAGCACUUCAACUCAAUUUGGUAUCAACAUGCCAAAUGUAGAAACUAACUCCUGUAUCAAAUAGUCUGAUCUUAAUCAGUGUAACUGAAUGGCCUCAUUGACUUUUAUUUCCCCAGUGAACUUAAAAUUGGACACUUAAUGUGAAAUAUGGAACUUAGAAGAAUUGAAGAUUUGAGUUACAUUAAUAAUUCAUCCAUCUAUUCAUCCAAUGAGCAUUAGUAGGUGAUGUAUUUUGUUCCAAACUCUGGACUAGGUCCUUGGGGCAAAUAAAAAUCAAACAGGCUGGGCGCCUUUAAUCCCAACACUUUGGGAGGCCAAGGUGGGAGGGUUGCUUGAGCCCAGGAGUUCAAGACCAGCCUGGGCAAUACAACGAAAUCCCAUCUUUACAAAAAAUAGCUUGGCAUGGGAGUGCAUGCCUGUAGUCCCAGAUACUUGGGAGGCUGAAGAAGGAGGAUUAUUGUGUCAAUGAAGAGUCAAACUCUGUAAAAUAUUUGAAGAGAUUUAUUCUGAGCCAAAUAUGAGUGACCAUGGCCCAUGGCACAGCCCUCAGGAGGUCCUGAGAACAUGUGGCUAAGGUGGUUGAAGUGCAGUUGUUUUUAUACCUUUCAGGGAGGCAUGAGACAUCAGUCAGACACAUUUAAGAAAUACAUUGAUUUGGUUCAGAAAGGCAGGACAACUCAAAGUGAGGGGAUCUUCCAGACUAUAGGUAAAUUCAAACAUUUUCUGAUUGACGGUUGAGUUUGUUUAAAGACCUGGGACCAAUAAAGGGAAUGUUUAGGUUAAAAUAAAAGCUUGUGGACCAAGGUUCUUUCGAAGUCUUACAGUGGCUGCCCUUAGAGACAGUAGAUGACAAAUGUUUCCUAUUCAGACCUUCAAAACAGUGCUAGACUCUUACUUAAACUCUUUAGGACUGGGAAGGCCUAGAAGAAAAAGACCUGACGAUGUUAACAGAGAUUCUUACAGAUGCACAUUCUCCCCCACGAAGGACAGCUUUGCAGGGCCAUUUUGAGAUAUGGCAAAGAAACGUGUUUGGGGGUAAAAUAUUUUUACUUUCUUCCUUGUCUCAUAAUGUGAUGACAGAGUUAGAUUGGAAAGUAGGACAAAAUAUAUAGGACUAAGUAAAACCCAUCUGAUGAGAAUUUAUAGUUUAUAGGGCAUGACUCCUAGACCCCUUAGAUAGAAUUUGGGCAAGAUAAAAAAAAAAACAACAGGGCUUAGUCCUCAGUCACAAAAGUGAGUGAUGAGUUUCAGUGAUGGAGUUGCCAGAGCAAACACAGGAAACUCAGCUAAAUUUGAAUUUUAGAUAAAUAACGAGUAAUUUUUUAGUAUAAGUGUGUCCCAAAUAUCACGUGUACUUUUGGAUGAUCUGAUGACUAGUGCCCUCUCCCUCUCUUCCUUAAUCUCCGAUGCCACUGCUGACAUUGGUAGGACCAGCAAUGCCAGCCGAACUUAUUCAAUUGGAGCCUCAGAUAAGCUUUCUUCCUUGUAAGUCAAGAACGCCUUAAAGAAGUUCUCCAAACCCUAGGCCACAUUUCUGUAUGUGGCAGUUUUUGUCUAUUUAUAAAAUCUGCUGGGCACUCUUCCCCUACACAUAAAAAUUUUAAUCAGAGGUACUUCCAGUUAAAAAAAAAAGGCUUUCUAGAAUAAAACUAUUUCUAAGCUUUUCACCAAUUCUCUAUGGAAAUUUAUGGAAAAUCUACAUGGUCUACAUGGAGGGGAACAGCAGGAUUUAUAAAACAUCUUUUAGAUCUACCCUGAAUGUUUGCACGCAUGUACACACACACACAAUAGCAUUCAUCUCUUGGAAGAACAAGUGCCUGUUCACUUCUUAGGCAAUGUGUGAUUAACUGUAGCAUCCCUUGCUGCCUUGAAGGUCUUGCACCUGAGUGUGUGUGCUCUUUGGGAUCAAACUGAAUCUUCCCAGACUGGGUGGUUUCCUGUCUGGGCUGAACUCACAAAACAAGGGAGCUGCCGGAGCUGAAAAUAGCACUUGACCUGAUGGCUCAAGCAUGGACCAAAGCUGGAAAAGUUCUGUAUUUGGGGGGAAUAGAAUACCCUAACAUCAACAGAGUACUUAACGGACUCACAAAUGAUGGCAUAAACCUAGAGAAUAAGAGUUGGAAUUUCUCUGUUUAGCUCCUUCUCUUAUACCACAAAGGUUUCAUGAUUUAAUUUAUCUUGUGGUUCUUCUACCUCCCACACCCAACCUGGUCAGCACGAACUACCAGCUACCUUAGUGCUGUGACACUAUUACUAUAAAAAAAUACUUGACAAUUCUAAGAAGUGCAGUGCCUGCAUGCAGUUGGUGUUCAAUAAGUGUUUGUUGAAUAAACUGCAAACUAAAGAGUCUACCUCUAUUACUACUCUGUGUUCGUCAAAGUUAUAUAUUAUAAAAAUAAGGAAGAUAGGCUGGGUGCGGGAACUCACGCCUGUAAUCCCAGCAUUUUGGGAGGCUGAGGUGGGUGGAUCACGAGGUCAAGAGAUCAAGACCAUCUUGGUCAACAUGGUGAAACCCUAUCUCGAUUAAAAUUACAAAAAUUAGCUUGGCAUGGUGGCGCUUGCCUGUAGUCCCAGCUACUCAGGAGGCUGAGGAAGGAGAAUCACUUGAACUCAAAAGACGGAGGUUGCAGUGAGCCGAGAUCACGCCACUGCACUCCAGCCUGGCAACAGAAUGAGACUUCGUCUCAGAAAAAAAAAAAAAAAAAGGGGGGAAAAUACCAUUAAAUGUCUUGAAACCAAGUGGGAAGAGUCUCACCUAACCCAUGCUCUCCCAAGAGGAAGAGCUUAUAACAUAUAAGAAAUCUAUUAGAUUUAUUCUGCUACUUUUCUAGGUGGCUUAAAUAAAGGGAAGGUCUUUUUCCUUAACAUGCAUAAGUGGCCUUUAUCUGUUCUAAAAUAGUUUUCAUGAAAUGUCAGUGUCUCAAUACUCUCCUCCAAAUAUCCAUCCUAAGAAUUAAUUAGAUUCAGCAAGGCUUUACUGCAAUGUGGGGUAGAACCGUCUUGUGCAUGUGUUAUGAGUCCUAAUUGAUUGUCCCUUCUAAAGUGAUUUGUGGUCUGGACAAGA